ensembl:rRNA 5S_rRNA 5S ribosomal RNA
GUCUAUGGCCAUACCACCCUGAACGCGCCCGAUCUCGUCUGAUCUCGGAAGCUAAGCAGGGUCGGGCCUGGUUAGUAGUUGGAUGGGAGACAAUUCCAGGGACUACACACA